UACGAAGGGUGCAAGCGUUACUCGGAAUUACUGGGCGUAAAGCGUGCGUAGGUGGUGAGUUAAGUCUGUCGUGAAAGCCCCGGGCUCAACCUGGGAAUGGCGAUGGAUACUGUCGGGCUAGAGUGCGGAAGAGGCGAGUGGAAUUCCUGGUGUAGCGGUGAAAUGCGCAGAUAUCAGGAGGAACACCAAUUGCGAAGGCAGCUCGCUGGGACGUGACUGACGCUGAGACGCGAAAGCGUGGGGAGCAAACAGG
rnacentral:rRNA from 1 species